rnacentral:rRNA from 1 species
GGAUCAAUAUAUCGGUCGUGCCUUGGUACGUACUGGUAUUAUUGAUUUCUACCUUCUGACGAACCAUGAUGUCAUUAAUUUGGUGUCUUGGGGAAUCAGGACUGUUACUUUGAAAAAAUUAGAGUGUUUAAAGCAGGCUUUAGCUUGAAUACAUUAGCAUGGAAUAAUGAAAUAGGACGUUCGAACCUAUUUUGUUGGUUUCUAGGAUCAACGUA